rnacentral:tRNA from 1 species
GCGGGUGUAGCUCAAUGGCAGAGCUCCAGCCUUCCAAGCUGGCGGUGCGGGUUCGAUUCCCGUCACCCGCUCCA